rnacentral:rRNA from 1 species
GAUGAACGCUAGCUACAGGCUUAACACAUGCAAGUCGAGGGGAAACGGCAUUGAGUGCUUGCACUCUUUGGACGUCGACCGGCGCACGGGUGAGUAACGCGUAUCCAACCUUCCCAUUACUGUGGGAUAACCUGCCGAAAGGCAGACUAAUACCGCAUAGUCUUCGAUGACGGCAUCAGAUUUGAAGUAAAGAUUUAUCGGUAAUGGAUGGGGAUGCGUCUGAUUAGCUUGUUGGCGGGGUAACGGCCCACCAAGGCUACGAUCAGUAGGGGUUCUGAGAGGAAGGUCCCCCACAUUGGAACUGAGACACGGUCCAAACGCCUACGGGAGGCAGCAGUGAGGAAUAUUGGUCAAGGGACGGAAGUCUGAACCAGCCAAGUAGCGUGCAGGAUGACGGCCCUAUGGGUUGUAAACUGCUUUUGUAUGGGGAUAAAGUUAGGGACGGGUCCCUAUUUGCAGGUACCAUACGAAUAAGGACCGGCUAAUUCCGUG